GGUAAGAUGCCUGAAAAAAGGGGGCCGUUGAUGUUGGCCAUCAUGUAGGUAAAACUCCUUCUCUUACCU
rnacentral:tRNA from 1 species